GACGAACGCUGGCGGCGUGCUUAACACAUGCAAGUCGAGCGGAGCGGCGAACGGGUGAGUAACGCGUGAGUAACUGCCCCCCUCUCUGGGAUAACAGUUGGAAACGGCUGCUAAUACCGGAUAGUGGGGGAUGACUCGCGUCCUAUAAGCUUGGUGGUGGGGCAGUGGCCUAAUAAGGCGACGACGGGUAGCCGGCCUGCGAGGGCGACCGGCCACAUUGGGCUUAGAUACGGUCCAAAGUCCUACGUGAGGCAGCAGUGGGUAAUAUUGCACAAUGGGGGAAACCGUGAUGCAGCAACGCGCGUCCGGGAUGACGGCCUUCGGGUUGUAAACCGCUUUCAGCCAUGACGCGGUAGUGGCACAAGAAGCACCGGCUAACUACGUGCCAGCAGCCGCGGUAAUAC
rnacentral:rRNA from 1 species